GCCCUUUUCUUUUCCGGCCGGCGCCCUAUAUGAGGUUCCGCCGGUUUCGACCGGAUAUGAUGAUAAACUGCGCCGUAUAAUAGGCACAGCGGACCCGGGGGCGGUACCCGGCGGCUCCACCAUCACCCGUUCCUUCGGAGUUUUCCGGUGGGACAGCCCUGUUGUCGCAGGGGUGAUGACGGGGCCGAACUAGGAUCGACGUGUGUUGAAAAGCGGUGUUUUCAUUCGGGCUGAGUAACCCGUUCAAGGCUCAAAACUCACAAGUGCCAACGACAACGAAGCACUCGCUCUCGCCGCGUAAUUCUAGGGGCUAACGCCCUGACGUUACAAAGCUAAAGCGCGGUUGGACCCACCGGGCAACAGAAGGGAUUCCAGGGGUUCGGGGUGUACCUUGCAACAGAAACACCCCACC
rfam:Novosphingobium sp. ST904 contig_6, whole genome shotgun sequence.